rnacentral:lncRNA from 1 species
CCAUGUGUCUCUUUUUUCUUCUUGUAGUGGUAUCAUUGGAUCAGAGGGUAUGACCGAUUUGGUGACUUUAGAGACAUAAUUCAAAAUUACUAGACAAGCAACUCUGAAAGACUUAAGAACGCUGAUCAACACAACAACCAACUAUGACUCUAAAGGACCAGUGAUAAAGCAUUUCCUAAGGGAGACAUGGUACCCAAGAGUUGUAAACAAAGUCGCUGCCUGUCAAUCAGGGAAUGGCUAAGUGGAACAAGAAUAAGUUCUAAAAACAAUAAACAUGAAGAAUUUUGAGAACUGUGGGAAGAAUUAUAGUAACUGAUUCAGAGUGAAAGAAACAGAAUGAGGAAAACAAUAACUACACAGAAAUCACAAGAGUGUAGAUGGAAACAAUAAUAAAAAAGAAACAAAGAAACUGAACA